CGCCGCGCGCGUUGAAACUUGAAGAAAGCUGUCCCUAGUACGAGAGGACCGGGACGGACGUACCUCUAGUGUGCAAGUUAUCCCGCCAGGGGUAUCGCUGGUUGGCUACGUACGGAAGGGAUAACCGCUGAAAGCAUCUAAGCGGGAAGCCUGUUUUAAGAUGAGGUUUCGUUAAGGUCCCCUAAAGACGAUAGGGUAGAUAGGCCAGACCUGGAAGCACUGUAAGGUGUGAAGGCUACUG
rnacentral:rRNA from 1 species